rnacentral:hammerhead_ribozyme from 1 species
AUUUGCUUGACGAGUCCUAAACAGGACGAAAUGCAAAUCCUAGAU